rnacentral:pre_miRNA from 1 species
GCUAAUUUCCAACUUGAUCUUCAAUGAACUCUGCUAAGCAGAGCUGAUUGAAGAUCAAGCUGAAAAUG